UAACCUAGGCUACAAUCUUUGUAAGAUAAGCAUGGAAUGUACUUCUGGUUUUUAUUGCUGUACUGCUCCUUCAGGUUCCCCCACCACCA